rnacentral:rRNA from 1 species
GGGUUGUGAGGUUAAGCGACUAAGCGUACACGGUGGAUGCCCUGGCAGUCAGAGGCGAUGAAGGGCGUGCUAAUCUGCGAUAAGCGCCGGUAAGGUGAUAUGAACCGUUAUAACCGGCGAUACCCGAAUGGGGAAACCCAGUGUGAUUCGUCACACUAUCAUUAACUGAAUCCAUAGGUUAAUGAGGCGAACCGGGGGAACUGAAACAUCUAAGUACCCCGAGGAAAAGAAAUCAACCGAGAUUCCCCCAGUAGCGGCGAGCGAACGGGGAGGAGCCCAGAGCCUGAAUCAGCAUGUGUGUUAGUGGAAGCGUCUGGAAAGGCGCGCGAUACAGGGUGACAGCCCCGUACACAAAAGCGCAUGUGCUGUGAGCUCGAUGAGUAGGGCGGGACACGUGGUAUCCUGUCUGAAUAUGGGGGGACCAUCCUCCAAGGCUAAAUACUCCUGACUGACCGAUAGUGAACCAGUACCGUGAGGGAAAGGCGAAAAGAACCCCGGCGAGGGGAGUGAAAAAGAACCUGAAACCGUGUACGUACAAGCAGUGGGAGCACCCUUUGGGGUGUGACUGCGUACCUUUUGUAUAAUGGGUCAGCGACUUAUAUUCUGUAGCAAGGUUAACCGUAUAGGGGAGCCGGAGGGAAACCGAGUCUUAACCGGGCGUUAAGUUGCAGGGUAUAGACCCGAAACCCGGUGAUCUAGCCAUGGGCAGGUUGAAGGUUGGGUAACACUAACUGGAGGACCGAACCGACUAAUGUUGAAAAAUUAGCGGAUGACCUGUGGCUGGGGGUGAAAGGCCAAUCAAACCGGGAGAUAGCUGGUUCUCCCCGAAAGCUAUUUAGGUAGCGCCUCGUGAA